rnacentral:rRNA from 1 species
GAUGAACGCUGGCGGCGUGCCUAAUACAUGCAAGUCGAGCGAACGGACGCGAAGUUUGCUCCUCUGAUGUUAGCGGCGGACGAGUGAGUAACAAAUGCGUAACCUACCUAUAAGAUAGGGAGAACUUCGAGACAGCGUAGCUAAUACCGGAUACUAUUUUGAUCCGCAUGGUUCAACAGUGAAAGACGGUUGUGCUGUGCUAUCUAGAUGGAACCGAGCUGCAUUAGCUAGUUGGUAAGGUAACGGCCUACCAAGGCAAGGAUGCAUAGCCGACCUGAGAGGGUGAUCGGCCACACUGGAACUGAGACACGGCCCAGACUCCUACGGGAGGCAGCAGUAGGGAAUCUUCCGCAAUGGGCGAAAGCCUGACGGAGCAACGCCGCGUGAGUGAUGAAGGUCUUCGGAUCGUAAAGCUCUGUUAUUAGGGAAGAACAUAUGUGUAAGUAACUGUGAACAUCGUGACGGUACCUAAUCAGAAAGCCACGGCUAACUACGUG